UAUGUUCGUUGUUGGACUAGCGCCUAGGCGCAAGAGGAAACAAACAUCAGGGAUAAUGCUCGAUAGGUUAACUGUGGGGACCCCGACUCAUAAGUCGUGAUCACCGAAUGCACGUGUACAGUGAUCCCAGAGAUCAAUGCUCACUGAACACACAGAAGCUGAAUAACAAGAGUCUUACAUCCAUACAUACCGUCUUACACAAAUUAUGACCAUUAUGGUCGAGUCUUACAUAGGUAAAGCCACAAGGGCUGAGUACCAAAUAAACUUAAGCAGCGGAAAUCUUCGUCGAUAAGUAGAACCCAUGCCAUCUGCCUUAACCCUACAGGCAUUCUGACUGGGAAACGUCCUAGUUCGCAUGUUCAACUCCAAAGAACUCUUCUUUGAACUCCUGUUCUUCCAUGCCUGGCCAAUUAAAUAACCAGUGGCAAGCCAAUGAGUACUUUGAAUGUACUCGCAAGCAAUCCAUGAUUGGAACAAGGCACAACAAUGCAAUGAUAUAGCACUAAGUAGGUAGUCUGCAGAAGCUAGUUUUGAGUGCAAUGACAUGAUCUAUCAACAUGUAAAGUAUGCAUCAUAGGAGUUCAGAUAUCCAUAUGAACAAGUUACAGAUCAACAUAAGCGGAGUUGGACACCAAUCCAACUUGAUCAUCGUGUCAAGCCAUCUGACUUAACCCAAUUAGUUUUAUCAACACACACACGGUUGUAAAAACUCUGGACAUAGUUUAAGCAGCACCGCCCAACUGUCCUUGACCGUGGACACGGCUAUUCGAAUAGUUUUACACUCUGCAGAGGUUGCACACUUUACCCACAAGAUCCGGGGAACUUCCGUGUCAUCCACGACCCGCGGUACCUCAAGUACCCGGGGUAAGCACCCGAUCACUAUCUUUCCCUAGACGACACGAACAUGGAGUCCACUCGAUUGGUAGUAACCCCCGUGCCCAACAUUUCACAUCUUAAAAUUGUGGAGCCUCGCUCCCAUAUUUAUCACAUACCACGGGGUACCAACGGUGUGUCCGGUGCCCUGUGAAAACAGUCAUGGCCGCCCUACCUGGCACGACCCCGUCCCGAGAGAGCGCAACAACUACUCUCCUAUCACCAGUAAUGCGGGCUCCAAGUUAGUAUCGGCCUAGGUAAUCAAUAAUGCCCUUUCCCAUAUAAGGGUAGAGUGGUUGCGCAUGUAAGGUUGGGACAGUCGACAAAUCUUAAAUCUAAUCCGUUUUCGAAAACCACACACACACUUGCCUCGGUACACCACUUCGUCAUCAAGUGGUUACCCAUCUCAUUAUCUCCCUCGGGCAUAAGUGGCACCCGACGGGGUUUUCCAAAAAGUCCUUUGAAAAUACUUUGCCUCCAUCACCAUGCAUAUUCCCGUCCCUUUUUGCGUAGCAACUACUUUAGCAUCCUAUCUACUCCCACCGGCAUAACCCUCAUAAGGAGGUAGGGUCAUGCACCAUGCAAGUAUCAACGAGGAAGUAACAGUGGCAAACCACCCCAUGUGGUCACCUCAUCAUCAUGUCUCCGAUGCAAGCAAUAAAAGUGCUAUAUGACAUGCAUAAAAAGGGUUUCAUAGACAUGGUCAAAGGGCUGCUUGCCUGGUUCAUCAGAGUCUUGAAAUCUUCUGAUCCUUCUCCAAAUACUCCGUCUACUUCGUCAACUAACGUCGGAAACAAUCACAAUAAGCAACACAACAAGGCAAAAUAAAAGUGCUCUAAAAAUAUUAAUUUGACUUUUCUAGGACAUCACUGGUUAUAUGAAAAAUAACCAGACUGGUUUCAUUGGAAUUGGGCCAGUGGAUAUUUCUAAACAUUUUGAUAUGAUGGAAUCAAGGGGUUUAUGGAUUUGCAAGAAGUGUACAGAAAUAUAUUUUUGAAAAAUGAGCAAAGUCACCCAUUUAACAAAUAAUGAUUUUAGAAGCAUCUAGGAAUUGGUUUCACUGGAUUUGGAGUUCAAAUUAUUUCUCUAUGAAUUUGCAAAGUUGGCUAUACAUGAAGAAAUAGACCAUUAUUUGAAGUGGUACAGAAAGUAUUAGUAAAAAUGUUCAAAAACUAAAUUUUGAACUUAUAAACAUCUAGGAAUUUGAAUUAUGGAAUUUGGAUAAAAAAUGGGCCCUCUGUGAUUUUCUAAAGUUUAUCACAGAAAUGGAAAAACAAGAUUUGAUAAAUGUUUGUGAAGAAAAUGUCUCUGGAAAAAUGUGCAUAUUGCACCAACAGGUAGAUCAUGAUUUAUGGAGUCACUAGAAAUUUGAAUCAUCAAAUUUAGAGUUAAUUUGAAUUAUUUAUGGAUUUGACAAAUUGUGCAGAAAAGAAAAAAGGAGAAGCUUUUUUCCCAAACGGGCCAGAUCUGGGCGGCAACCGCGCGCACUGAGCGCGGAAUAGCAAGUGGGCUGGCCCAGCGGUUCGGCUGCAUGGGCAUAGGAGGUGACGUCGAUGGCGCCUGCCCGGAAUACGUCUUGGCCGCGGGGAGACGGCUCCGAAGAAGUCGUGUCCACUUAUCCCACGGGCCCGGCCCUCAGGGUCGCCGACACGCGGGGCCCACCUGUCGGGUUCAUCCCCAACCUCCCGCUCGAACAGAGCAGAGGCAGGGGGCGGUGUCGACGGCGGCUUGCCGGCGCUACAGGCCACCGUUUUCGAUGAGCUGGCCACCGGCGUGCUCAGGGGACCCGGCCGAGUCCAACCGUUGGGUGCACGGUCGCCCAGGGGCACCGGGUCGAGCAGGGCACUGGCCGCGGCGGACGAGGCUGACGGUGAGGUUGGGGCACGGUGUUGCGGCCACGGAGAAGAAGAAAUGGAGUCCGGGAGAG
rnacentral:lncRNA from 1 species